GUUUACAACCAUUUCACCCGAGAGUGUCUCAUCUCGGCAAGAUAAGCAGUGUUGAGCCUGGUUACCACGUGGAUGGGAGACUGCCUGGGAAUAUCAGGUGCUAUAGGCU
ensembl:rRNA 5S_rRNA 5S ribosomal RNA